UCCCUGGUAGCUCAGAAGGUAAAGAAUCUGCCUGCAAUGCAGGAGAUCUGGGUUCGAUUCCCAGGUCGGGAA
rfam:Ovis aries breed Texel chromosome 12, whole genome shotgun sequence.